UACGGGAGGCAGCAGUGGGGAAUAUUGGGCAAUGGGCGAAAGCCUGACCCAGCGACGCCGCGUGAGGGAAGAAGGUCUUCGGAUUGUAAACCUCUUUCAGUAGGGAAGAAGAAAGUGACGGUACCUACAGAAGAAGUCACGGCUAACUACGUGCCAGCAGCCGCGGUAAU
rnacentral:rRNA from 1 species